CAUUGAGAGUCCAUUCCACCAAAACUCUGACAUUUAAAGAGAUCGUAAAAUAAUCCAUUUGAAUUAAGCGGUUUAAUCCAAGUCUUCUGAAGAGACACGAUUGCUUUAUUUGAUGAACAGAUUUAAUUUAAGCUUUUAUUCACAUAUAAACACUGAACAUACUGUACAUCGAGCACAUCAGAUAAGCUAAACGGAAGCUCAAACAUACUUGAAGGGAUUCGUGAAACUGGUUUGGUGAACUUUGACCUGUGAAUUUGUAUUGAGCAAAAAUGUGCAAUUUGCAGAAAUUCUGAUAGUUUGUAAAUCGUUGGUAAAUCAAUGAGAUCUUUAUAACAUUACAGCAGAUACUUUUAUAAAAUGCAUAUAAAUAUCAAUAUCUGCCAAUAAUGUCUUAGUAAGAUGAUAUUUACAUGCUUAGUUUUAUGAUCAAACAUAUAAUACAAUGAUGAUUGAGAGAUGAACAAAUAAACCUUCCUCAAAAGAUGAUGAUCAUAUUUGAUACUCAUGAUUUUUCUAAUAAAUGAUGUCUGGAUAAUCAAGUAAAGCUGCUUCAGUCCAGAUGAAAUAUUACUAACAAUAUCAAAGUUAUUCUUACGUUUCCUUGAUAAAAUCAGAUUUUACAGCAGAAAGACACGUGAAGCACGAGCUGAAGGACGUUUGUACAGUUAUACUAAAAGACUUUUACUGGAUAAAAGAGUCAAAACUUAAUCAGAGACAGAAGGACUGGAGGCAGUGUUGCCAAGUCCUGUGAUUUUCCCGCAGAAUUGGGCUACUUUUACUUUUGUUUUUAAUAUCCACGGGUUGAAGCGACCCCAAAUAAUAUGAUAUUUAGCUCCUGGUGUGCGAAUUUUACCAGGGAACCCCGCCAACGCGGGGGAACGCGAUUUUUACCGUGGGACCCGACCCCUGAAACACAAUUGGGCUAGUUUUGGGUUUUGUUGUGAAAACCUGGCAACCCUGACUGGAGGAGAUUGUGUGCAACAGCAAAGUUUUGAUCAUUUAGAGAGGCUUUAGAAAUUUGUGUUUAAGGUUAAUACGAGAUCAAGGAAAAUGAGAUUUUUCAUGCCAUGACCCUAUAAGGACACAUUUCUGAUCUGUGAGUCCAUUAGACAUCUGUUGUGUUUUAACCCAGACCUCCAAUUAUAGUAAGUGCUUGAGAAAGCGAAGCAAACCCGAUUCAGCAACAAUCAAGAGGCAAACAGAGAGUACAGAGUGUGACGGUCCAAAUAUAAAAAAAUCAUUUAAUCAGAGCAGUUGGACUGAUGUGUAAUCAAACACUUCGAUCAGCGAAGACUCUUCUCUGUGGAGACUCAAGAAAAACAUUGAUCUCUGCAGAGGAAAAACACCAGAGGAAAGGGAAGAAGCAGAAGAGACAGAGAGAAAUGGAGACGAGGAGAUCAAAGCCGCACUGGGCCGGUUUAUCAAAUGCCACAGUAUGUAAAUGAAGCCGUCAAGAGCUCAAAACACACAGACAUGAUAAAGGGUUUUAAUCUUCAUGAAAAUGAAGGUGCUCAUCUGAAUAACUGAAGACAAACUCUACAGAGAAAAACAACAGUGUGUUGUGACGAACAGAAACAUGUCAAGCUUCUCACAGUCAGACACCGAGAAACACCAAACCGUCAGCCUGAACUUCUGCUCACAAACCAAUGACAAAUCAUCUCAAAAUCUCAUUUGUGUUUCAUGAGGGCUGCUUGAUCUUCAGCUCGUGUCAGGAUGACCUGAAUGCUGCUUUCCACUAAAACACGUCCAAUUAAAGCUGUUGCGCUCGACCGUAGCGCUUCUGCCGAGAGGCUGCAAGAGAUCACACGGACAAGCGGCAUGGAAAAACUUCACUGAAUCAAAUGAACAAACAAGCUGUUUACUCUAAAAAUCGACUGCUUUUAGUUUUUCUGGUAAUUUUUGGAGCACAACAGCCUCUGCUCUCCAUUCACUGCACAAGCUCAGACAUUCUGCUGAACAUCUGUGUUUUACAGAAUAAAAAAAUGACGACCUUCAUUCUAUGAAUUUCCAUUUUUGACUGUUAUACUGACAGCAACUGUUUGUCUUCUCUGUUGAUGUAAUCUGUAUCUGAUAACAACAUAAAACACACAGAAAAGCAGCCGAUCAGAGUUCAGAGGUCAGUCAGUGAAGCAUUAACCAGCAGCUGUAAAUCCCUCUAAAUCAUCACGGGUUUCAGCUUUACCUCAAAGUCCGGCUCCAGAGACGGCCGCGGUCAGACGGAGCUGAUGUAUUCUCCAACAGCGUUCCUGAACGAGGUCCCGGGAUGGUAUAUGUGGACGGGGAUCUUCUUACCUGUGACGGCACUCCUGCUGCUGUUCAUCGCUUACCUCAGCUGGAGGAUCCGCAAGAAGGAAGAGUUGGCCAUGACCGCAGACCCUCGGGAAACAGCGUCUCAGCUCAGUUUCGGGCCGCGCUACAGACGCAGGAAAGAGACGAGGAGCCGCACAUGAAACACACACACACACACACACACACAGUCCCACCUGUGCUGAGCGACGGACACCGUGAUUUUGCCAACUCAAGACAUGUUCCUGGAUCAACAUCUUUUGUGGUGUCAUACUGUGGACCCUCUGACAACAACAGCCAAUCACAGCGCUGGAUUGGAAAGGCGCCAAUUUGCAAAUUCCUGAUAAGGAAGGUUCUUUUUUGAGACAAAGUAGUAGUCUUCGUAGUAAAAAACAAAACAAAACAGCAACUAAGCAUGUGCCCUCAUUUUCCACCAACUUCAGAAUCCUCUCUUCAGGGAUUCUCCGUCCGCGUGUUCCAGAUCAUCUGGAUCUUCUGCAGGCUUCAGAACAUUCACCUUCAAGAAUUCUUUCCUCUGCAUGUUCCAGACAGACAAGCACCUUUUCAGUGCUCCAGAGGUUCAGCGUUCUUCAUGUUCAAGGCUGUUUAAACAGAAUCCCGCUUCUUUCUUCCCACUGUGGCGUGUCCCAGCACAACCAGUGGAAUACGCCACCGUCACCGGAUUCGUCACGUGACCAAGCAGAGCGUAAAUAUCACUUUACCUAACCUCUUCCCAGAGACUUUGGCAUUAGUGUGUACUGUCAGUUUGUGAAGUUUUUUUACCUUAGAUAUUGUACAGCUGAUGUCAGUUAAUAACAAAUAAUCAUUGAGUUUAUUGUUGAAUUCAGAAUAAGUUUCUUCACUUUAUUAGUGCAGAGAAACAAUCUUUCCACGAGGUAACGUGUAACUGCCAUGGGAACAUCCAAAUCAAUCACGUACAUUUAUCAAUCUAAUGUACUUGACUCAAUCCACUCAUUCAUUUAGUCGUUAGUUACUCUUGUCAAUCUUUUUGUUAAUAAAAAUCCUUUUAUCA